rnacentral:rRNA from 1 species
CACGUAGGGGACGAGCGUUGUCCGGAUUCAUUGGGCGUAAAGCGCGCGUAGGCGGCUCGGAAAGUCGGUCGUGAAAUGCCGGGGCUCAACCCCGGGACUGCGUCCGAUACUCCCGAGCUGGAGGCAGGUAGGGGAGAUCGGAAUUCCUGGUGUAGCGGUGAAAUGCGCAGAUAUCAGGAGGAACACCGGUGGCGAAGGCGGAUCUCUGGGCCGGUACUGACGCUGAGGUGCGAAAGCGUGGGGAGCAAACAGG